GUUUUCAUUCAAAAUAUUUGUUGCAAUAUUAAUGCGAAUGUACAACGUCAUUUUUGACGUGCAUAUAUAUACAUGUAUGUACAUUUGUGAUACAUAUUUUCCACCUGUCUAACGAUAUUAUCUACAUUACACAGUAUUGUUAGUGACUUCAUAUCUUUGCUCUCUUUUGCGUUUUAGAAAUUCGCAUCAAUUGCGCAGUCAAUUAUUUGUUAGCAGACUGACUAGUCGGUGGUACUACAUAUGGAGCACGUGAAUGUGCAUCACUGCAAUGUAGUACCGAUUCACCAACAAAACAAUAUCGAGAUCCGUAAUAUACUCAUGUGAUAACAUAUGUAUGGGUGUGGAGGUAUGUUUUGUUAAGGCUCUACAAUUAGUUAUUUUGGCAAAUUUACUUUUUUGGAUCGGCAAGGUGAUUCGUAAUAAAAGUUCUUGAUUGGCAGUACCUCACAUAAAGCAUAUAAUCUCAUAGUAUGAAUAACAUCAAGACACAUACCAUAAGCAGGAGGAAAGAUAUCGACUUUAUAUUCGACCGGAAAAUUAUCUACAGUGAAACAAAGGUUUUGGGAAGUAUGGUGUAAGGCGAUACAGAAAAAAGAAAUAUACAACAGCUGGCACGUAUUGGCCUAUUGAAAGUGCUUUGAACCAUACAAACUUUGUAAUUUAACAGUUAAUAAUUAAUAUGUAUAUAUCUACCAUAUGUACGUUUAGAAAUAUCAGUAUGACCUAUAAACAGCUAAAAAAUAAAUCCAAUUGGACUACUUUUUAUCUUUA